rnacentral:rRNA from 1 species
AUUGAACGCUGGCGGCAGGCCUAACACAUGCAAGUCGUACGAGUGGCGGACGGGUGAGCAAUGUCUGGGAAACUGCCUGAUGGAGGGGGAUAACUACUGGAAACGGUAGCUAAUACCGCAUACCAUCAGAUGUGCCCAGAUGGGAUUAGCUAGUUGGUGGGGUAACGGCUCACCAAGGCGACGAUCCCUAGCUGGUCUGAGACGAUGACCAGCAACACUGGAACUGAGACACGGUCCAGACUCCUACGGAAGGCAGCAGUGAGGAUUAUUGCACAAUGGGCGCAAGCCUGAUGCAGCCAUACCGCGUGUAUGAAGACGGCCUUCGGGUUGUAAAGUACUUUCAGCGGAGAGGCGUUACCCGCGGGAGAAGCGCCGGCUAACUCCGUGCCAGCAGCCGCGGUAAUUC